AGAAAAUUUAGUCUCCCUAAACUGUGAAGAGGAAUGGAAGACAAAGGAGAUGCUGCUUCUGACAGAGACUGUAGAAGGUGUUCAGAGAGAAGCUGCGAUAGAGGAAUAAUGGAGCAGAAGUAGAGGAGAGAGUGACAAGCAGAUGCCUCUGACAAUAUCACUGUUUUUGGAGAGCCACA